rnacentral:rRNA from 1 species
AUUGAACGCUGGCGGCAGGCCUAACACAUGCAAGUCGAGCGAGCGGCGGACGGGUGAGUAAUGUAUGGGGACUGCCCGAUAGAGGGGGAUAACUACUGGAAACGGUAGCUAAUACCGCAUACUAUCGGAUGACCCAUAUGGGAUUAGCUAGUAGGUGAGGUAAUGGCUAACCUAGGCGACGAUCCCUAGCUGGUCUGAGAGGAUGAGCAGCCACACGGGGACUGAGACACGGCCCAGAGUCAAGGGGAGGCAGCAGGGGGGAAGAUUGCACAAGGGGAGAAAGCGUGAUGGAGCCAGGCAGCGUGGAUGAAGAAGGCCCUAGGGUGGUAAAGUACUUUCAGUCGGGAGGCGGUACCGAAAGAAGAAGCACCGGCUAACUACGUGCCAGCAGCCGCGGUAAUUC